rnacentral:rRNA from 1 species
AUUGAACGCUGGCGGCAUGCCUUACACAUGCAAGUCGAACGGUAACAGGUCUUCGGAUGCUGACGAGUGGCGAACGGGUGAGUAAUACAUCGGAACGUGCCUAGUAGUGGGGGAUAACUACUCGAAAGAGUGGCUAGUACCGCAUGAGAUCUACGGAUGAAAGCAGGGGAUCGCAAGACCUUGCGCUACUAGAGCGGCCGAUGGCAGAUUAGGUAGUUGGUGGGAUAAAAGCUUACCAAGCCGACGAUCUGUAGCUGGUCUGAGAGGACGAUCAGCCACACUGGGACUGAGACACGGCCCAGACUCCUACGGGAGGCAGCAGUGGGGAAUUUUGGACAAUGGGCGCAAGCCUGAUCCAGCAAUGCCGCGUGCAGGAUGAAGGCCUUCGGGUUGUAAACUGCUUUUGUACGGAACAAAAAGCCCUGGGUUAAUACCCUGGGGUCAUGACGGUACCGUAAGAAUAAGCACCGGCUAACUACGUGCCAGCAGCCGCAGUAAUAC